GAAAGGCUGAGCUUCUUUUGUAACGUUGACGUCCCAGGCUCACAAUGAAGUUUCAGAGCUUCUGCCUUGUUCUUCUCGUAUAUGGAAUCAAUGUGCAGGCCUUUCUGUCAAAAAAGAAAGAACCAGGAGCAUGUCUCAAGAAGCCUGAUCCUGGGCCGUGUAAAGCUUCCAAACCAAGUUGGUAUUUUGAAGAAACGGUUGCAGGUUGCAAAUAUUUUAUUUACGGUGGCUGCAAUGGAAACAGCAAUCGGUUCGCAUCUGAGGAAAAGUGCGUAGACUAUUGCUUGCCCAAGUCGAGACGCAAACCAGUGUGUAGCAGGAAAGCAAAGCCAAUGAAAUGUAACUCUGUGGUGAAGUAUUGGUACUUUAAUACUACUGGAAACACCUGCCACCGACUAGAAGCUGGUUUGUGCCCAACGACUGGCAAUAUGUUUACAUCCUGCGACAAGUGCAUGAAGAGAUGCAGUGCGACGAACCCACUGUUGCCGUGCAGUCUGGAAUACAAAAAACUGCGCAAUACGGUAACUUCUGCCAUGCCCACGUUGACACUCGGGCGACCAGUUCAUACAGGACCGAUACCGGGACAGGACGUUAGAAAAGCGGUACGGAAACCCGUGAUUGGAAGACCAACAAAUACGACAAAAUGGGAGUCAACGAGACUAUGAAGAGCGACAGCAAAAUUACCGAUAGUGUCAGCCUAAAUGUCAUCGUAGAAAUCCAGGCCCUCCAACGUUACCCAAACAAGGUAGCCUAACAUCAGUGUCGGCAUGAAUGUCGUCUUGCCAACUCGGUCCAAACAGGCAUUUAUUUCCUGAUACUGAAGAAGAGCAACAGGGCUUGCUCGAGCACCAGAAAUACUGUCCUUUUCUAA